GAUGAACGCAGGCGGCGUGCCUAAUACAUGCAAGUCGAACGAAACUUCUUUAUCACCGAGUGCUUGCACUCACCGAUAAAGAGUUGAGUGGCGAACGGGUGAGUAACACGUGGGCAACCUGCCCAAAAGAGGGGGAUAACACUUGGAAACAGGUGCUAAUACCGCAUAACCAUAGUUACCGCAUGGUAACUAUGUAAAAGGUGGCUAUACUACCGCUUUUGGAUGGGCCCGCGGCGCAUUAGCUAGUUGGUAGGGUAAAGGCUUACCAAGGCAAUGAUGCGUAGCCGAAUUGAGAGGUUGAUCGGCCACAUUGGGACUGAGACACGGCCCAAACUCCUACGGGAGGCAGCAGUAGGGAAUCUUCCACAAUGGGCGAAAGCCUGAUGGAGCAACGCCGCGUGGGUGAAGAAGGUCUUCGGAUCGUAAAACCCUGUUGUUAGAGAAGAAAGUGCGUGAGAGUAACUGUUCACGUUUCGACGGUAUCUAACCAGAAAGCCACGGCUAACUACGUG
rnacentral:rRNA from 1 species